GCUGAGAGAGUAACCUCUGAUGGCUUGAGGUUAGGAGAUUAAGAAGGAAAGGUCUUUUACAGAGAUAAAGGAAAUUGCAUGAGAAAAGCUGUUCUUGGCCAGAGGCCAAGCUCCAGGUAGGAGAGGGACAAGUGAAAGAGAUGAUAAGGGGCUUCUGUCUGUGAGCUGCUCUUAUGUAUUGACAUUGUGAUGUAAAGGUACAUAAUACCUAUUAAUGAAGACACAGUGGAUUGCCAUUGGUUCAGGUAUAAAUUACAACAAGGCAGAGAAGUGGAUUUCCUCAGCACAAAGAAACCUGAGUUAGAGCCUAAACCUUAGGAAUGCUGGGAUCAAAGUCCAGCAGGUCAGCAUGAUGACGAUCAGAAUGGUCAUGAAACCUUUGUCAGAGGAAGAGGACUGCCAGGUCUUUAAGGUUGUCGGCUUUUCAUCUGACUGCCUCAGGGUAUAGAUAUGUAUCUGAGGAAACCUGGCCCCCAUCUCCUGCAUCUGUGCCUUUUCUCAGCACUCUAACCACCCACCUGAAUGUGCUCCUCCCUCGCCUGUGCCUCUCACAAUCUUACAAGCAUAUUUCAAGGUCCAGCUGAUGAGCCAUAAUCCUUUACUAACCCUCCCAGGCAAUGAAACCAGAAGACAUCAGGAAGCUGAAAGUAAAUGAAAGAAUGUCUUCUUUGAAGAGGGAAAUAAAGAGUUGAAAGAGUUAUGCACAAAGGCAAUAAGCCAAGAGAAUUGCCAGGUUAGAGUUCAAGCUAAUUCUUAUACAUUAAAAAGGAGUAAAGUCAAAA